rnacentral:tRNA from 1 species
GGAGAGCUCGCCUAGUGGACGAUGGCGGCGGUCUUGAAAACCGCUAGGGGCUUGACGCUCCUCGUGGGUUCGAAUCCCACGCUCUCCGC